GCGAAUUCUGAAUAUAUGCUUGGAGGUUUCCUGCUUGCGUAGCAAUGGUAGAAGUGGAAUUUGACAUCGUAGACCAAAUUCUACAUUAUGGUCUAUUAAUUGGCGCCGUAUUUCAACUUAUUGCAAUAUUCUCAAUCGUCAUUUUACCGUCUGCCGACGACGAGAAGAUUGAAGAAGACACAAAUGUUAAAUCAGCGGAAACAAAGCCUCUUAGUCCAAGUAAAAGAUCUAAAAAAGAAUCCAAGAAAAGAAGAUGAGUUAAUGAUCUUGUGCUUGUAAAGUGUUUCUGUUAAGACUAGUUGCUUUUUCACCAUGUAGCCGGCAUGCCUUAGCUGAUCCUCAUCAAUAAGUUGUGGAUCCAUCUAUCAAGUGGUUUGCCAGAUACAAUGCAAUAAAUAUAGAAAUCAUGAUUCUUGAUACCACAAGCAGUGUUGUUGUUAUAGGAUAGACUGCCUUACUCAUAACUUCCAUUUGUGGGUCUACAAUUUUAUAUUGAUGUUAUUACCAUAAGAUCCUAGUACUUCCAUUAAUUUCAUAUUUGAAAUAAUUGCUUCAAAAUAUUAGAUGAUACUUAAUACCUGUAUUUUAGACUUAUUUGAUGUGGUGGUAAAGAGGGUUUAUUGUACAUCCAUCAAGAUGUUUACUUUUAUGAUACUGAAGUGAACUCAUUUAUAUAAAAUAUAUUUUAAUAUUCA